AUUGCAUCUUGCAAAGCCAGAGAGAGCCACCAUACUAUCAGUAGGUUAUAACUAAUGUGCAGACGAUACUGGUAACCAUGAAGGUAGCGUUACAUUGCAGUGAUUUGCAACCAGUGGACAAUGGAACAGCCACAAUAUGUGGACCCAGUCCUUAUGGAUAACCCACACAGAGUUAGUUCCCCAGAAGCAAGGAGAGAGAGAGAGAAAGACCCGUGCACCCACCUUGCGCAGACCCUUGUGCGUCUUGCGUGGCAGCUUCUUGGUGUGCCACCGGCUGGU
rnacentral:lncRNA from 1 species